CGUGCGUGUAGAAAAGAUGUGUUAAUUUGCUAGCUGCAGGUUUUUUCUUUCAUUCAAGUACCAUCACUGCAAGUGGUCGACCAGAGCACUAUAUGUAACUGUAGCGGUGUAAUAAGCUAUCAGUGGAGCGUAUAACCUCGGAGAGACGUUAUAUUACCGUGGAAAGAGUAUAACAGAUAACAGCUAGCUGUUAAGACUUAGAUACUAGUGCACAUGUGGUUUUUGCUAAGAAGUUAGCGAACAGCCAACUGGAGGAGCAGAGACUGUGUUUGUCACGGAGAAAAGAGCUGUGGACUUCGCGGAUGACUGUCUCCAUUUUGUUUGAGGCUUCUACGCACUCCAGCUACAUUCAGGCCUGCAACGGGGAACUUGGGUUUUCAGAAGAACCUGUAGCAUUUUUAAACAGACUUGAAGAGAAGAGGUUCUUCUACAGAGAUUUAAGGACAUCACAGUUACUUACAUUCAGAGGAAACAGGUGUGUUACAGUGCCAUCUCUCCACUAUGUUAAUAACAGAUCUGUGUGUGUGUGUCUGUGUG